rnacentral:rRNA from 1 species
GCCUGAGAGAUGGCUMCYACGUCCAAGGACGGCAGCAGGCGCGGAACUUGCCCAAUCCCGGGGGGGGAGGCAGCAACAAGACGUGGGACGGAACGCACGGGAAAGGAGUGCGGGGCGACUGGAGGGCAAGUCUGGUGCCAGCAGCCGCGGUAAUUCCAGCUCCAGGAGCGCACACGAGUGUUGCUGCAGUUAAAACGUCCGUAGUCGGCCGGGGCGCGCAGUGAGGAAAGAGCCGGGCUCGGGGCAGCGGGGAGCACGGGAGCGGGGGCGACAGGAACGGACGGCGGGCGCGGGACCCGGGGGCGAGAGGUGAAAAUCGGGGACCCGCCGGGGACGGGCAGAGGCGAAGGCGGCGGCCGGGGACGAGUCCGUUGAUCAAGGACGAAGGCCGGAGGAUCAAAGAUGAUUAGAGACCGUCGUAGUUCCGGCAGUAAACGAUGCCGACGGGGCGGCGCACGGGGCGGUGUCCGGGAGAAAUUGAGUGUUUGGGCUCUGGGGAAAGUACGGUCGCAAGACAGAAACUUAAAGAAAUUGACGGAAGGACACCACAAGGAGUGGAGUGUGCKGCUUAAUUURACUCAAC